GUUUUAUUUAUUAUUUGUUUUUUACCUUUGGUAUAAGGGUUUUAUGAACUAAAUUUAUAAUAUU
rnacentral:tRNA from 1 species